GAUGAAGAACGUAGCGAAAUGCGAUAAGUAAUGUGAAUUGCAGAAUUCAGUGAACCAUCGAAUCUUUGAACGCACAUUGCGCCCGCCAGUAUUCUGGCGGGCAUGCCUGUUCGAGCGUCAUUUCAACCCUUGGGCCCCUGCCGCCCAGCGUUGGGAGGCCGCGCCUCACCGCGCGCCUCCCCAAAGUCAGUGGCGGGGCCGGCUCGCGCUCCAGACGUAGUAGAUCUCUAUCUCGCCUGCAGCGCCCGCCGGCCUCCCGCCGUAAAACACCCCACGUCAAAAGGUUGACCUCGGAUCAGGUAGGAAUACCCGCUGAACUUAAGCAUAUCAAUAAGCGGAGGA
rnacentral:misc_RNA from 1 species